GGCACGCGUGGCGUAGUGGUUAGCGCGUUUGUUUUCAAGAUUUGCAUCGCGGGUUCGAUCCCCACGGAGGCCA